GUUACGUGUUCCUACUAAUCAUUACCCAGGUCUUUUUCACCGUGUUGUUCAUUUUCCCUUCAAAUCAGGAGAGAUUUCUCUACAUCCGCUCACUCUCCGAAACCAUCAAAAGACGAAAGGGAAGAAACCCAAAAAAGUGUGUUAUUAGCACGGCAAAGUGGAGUAGCCCUCGGCCAGCUGUCAGAAAACACGGUUUCCAGCCUUACUCUUCUUGGGCGAUCUGUAUGGACUUAAACAUAUCCUUUUCCACAUGAACCUCAGGUUUUCUAACUGUAAGCACAGGGUCUGGCAAGACAUGUCUGAUAGAUCCACAGGUAUCUGAGCAGGUGCAUGGGUGACCGUCUGGCUGGUUGAGCUACUGGGAGAUCCAUUCAAGGAUUCCAGCUCCCUGAGAACACGCAGCAGACAGUGGUGUUUUAGAUCUCGGUCCCUUGUGCCAGUCAGAGGUGUGAAUCCUGUUAGCUUCUCAUUUACAACGUUUGGACAACAAGAAUUCCAACUCCUUUCCAGUUUGCACUGCUGUGGAUGACUCGAUUCUGCUAGUUGCUAGCUGAAAGUGUGUGGACUGAUGAUGUCAUCGAAGGCUUAAUUGGUCCCCUGCCCAUAGAUGGCUGCUAAGUUCCUGCACUAAUGAGAAGUGUGCCCAUCCUUGGCAAGUGACCACCUGCUUCUCAGCCCAAGAAGCUCCAGAAAUUGCACCAGCAGGAUCCCGGAAAUAAAGCUUUAGGUGUCUCUUACUGAGAGAAAGGACUCACACACCUUCUGUUUCCAGAGGCGACAGACUUCUUCCUGUGCAGAUCUCCACUUGAGUUGACUAGAGGAACGGGCAAGGAACUGCCUUUUGGGAGUUGUUUUCCAGAAAAAGAGCUCAUUAAUAGGUUAUACUGGAGGACGAGAGAGAGGCCAAUGCCUCUGAAGGCACUGCAGGUGAUGAGGAGGGGUCCUUUGUAGACUCAGCAGGUCAAGAUGGACAGUACAGGAUGUUAGCAGCACCCCAGGAGGGGGCAGGAUCUCCAAGAGCAGCGGUAUCCUGGAUUGAUAUGUGACCCAACAAUGACGGAGGUGAAAUUUCCCACCAACCAUGUGAAUGGAGGUUUUAAGACAGAUUGCAUUUAGCUUAAAGAUAAUUCAAAAUGCUGGACGUCCUGCGGAAUGGAACCUGUCUAUCUUUUGUUCACCGCUCUCCUGGUGCCUGGAACAGUUCACCCUCCAGGAGCUCAGAGUUUGAUGAUAGAGAUGCAUCCAUCCAGACCACUAUAACACAGGGAGACCGCUGCUCCACCAGAGGGGGGGUGUAUACAAGGGUUGUGGGUCCUCAGAGAAGGAGCCAACCCAUUUCCCUGGAGGAGAAAAGUAACAUGGGAAGGUUGCCCAGAGGAGGUAGAUAAUUGAAUAUGACCUUAAAGGAGGAAGGAGCACUUUGGUUUUUCUUUAUUUUAGACAGCCACGCUCUGGUGUAACUCCCCUUCACUCCUACCUCCCGGCUACUUCAUCCCAAGGCCUGACAGCUGGGGUCCCAGGGAGGCCUGAUUCAUGAACUAGGGGAUGCUUGUCUUUUGUCCUUUAUUUUAUCCGGAAUAAGGGGUCUUGAACACUUGGAACUCUUGUCUACAAGGAUGCUCAUACUGUUUAUAUUCAUUUUGAAUAUUUUAGAUCAUCAAUCUGCUACUCCCUCCUCUGUUCCUAAGAAACUCUGAACAUCCUGUCUUUGCAUGUAUGACAUAUCGUAGAUUCCUGAGAAGACCUCCUUUCCUCCACCAGACUGGGAGUCCCCCAAGGGCAGAGUUCAUGAAUCAGCCCUCUCGGUGACCCCAGAUGCCAAGUCUUGGAAGGAAGUAGCCACUCUGUACAUAUUAAAGUAUAUUGAGAAAUAAAGGAAACAGAGAAAUUCUCCCACUGGGGCAUCUUGUUGUUAAGAUAACUUACAUUCUGACUGCCAGGGUCCCUGAAAGACAGUGUUUGUUUCCCAGAACAGUAAUAGCCACGUUAACUCAUGAGGAUUAUAAUUCAGAGCAACUUUUGAUAAAAGGAGAUAUUUACUUCGAUAUGAAGGUUCCAGCAAAACAAAGUGGGACCAAUUAAUGCGUGUGUAUGGAGUCAUAUUUGUCUUAAUAACCACAGCCCUUUCUCAGGGUGAAAGACGGCAGCUAAAUGUCUUACUCUGGAUGUCUUCAGUGUGUUUGGUCGCCAUUUAAAUCCGAGAUAAAUGCUUUGCAUUCUGAAAGCAUGUUUCAAAAAGCUCAACAGUUUUAACUGAGAUGAUUAAAAUUCAAUUGCAAAUCAUUAUCCCUUCUAUUACAUUUUGCUCAUUAUUCAAAACGUGGACAAUAGAACUCUAACCAGAUUUGAGAUUUUUCCUGUCUCAUUGCCUGUAUUCAUUCAUUCAUUCACUCGCUCGCUCAUUUACCCAUUCUUCCUAUCAAAUGUUUCCUACGUGACAGACUUUUGUAAAGCAAAAUCUUCCCCUCAUAUUCUACUGUCUCUAAAUUACUCUCGCGAGCAAAUUUGCAGACAGCAUUGCCAGAAAACAGCUGACAUUUGGAAGGUUAUUUUGAUAGACUAGUCACUAUCACU